AGUGGGGAAUAUUGGACAAUGGGGGCAACCCUGAUCCAGCCAUGCCGCGUGAGUGAUGAAGGCCUUCGGGUUGUAAAGCUCUUUUGGCGGGGACGAUGAUGACGGUACCCGCAGAAUAAGCCCCGGCUAACUUCGUGCCAGCAGCCGCGGUAAGACGAAGGGGGCUAGCGUUGUUCGGAAUUACUGGGCGUAAAGCGAGUGUAGGUGGUUAUCCAAGUUGGAUGUGAAAGCCUUGAGCUCAACUCAAGAAAUGCAUUCAGGACUGGAUGACUAGAGGACCGGAGAGGAUAGUGGAAUUCCCAGUGUAGUGGUGAAAUACGUAGAGAUUGGGAAGAACACCAGUGGCGAAGGCGGCUAUCUGGACGGUUUCUGACACUAAGACUCGAAAGCGUGGGGAGCAAA
rnacentral:rRNA from 1 species